rnacentral:rRNA from 1 species
AACGAACGCUGGCGGCAGGCCUAACACAUGCAAGUCGAGCGCGCCCUUCGGGGUGAGCGGCGGACGGGUGAGUAACGCGUGGGAACGUGCCCUUUUCUACGGAAUAGCCUCGGGAAACUGAGAGUAAUACCGUAUACGCCCUUUGGGGGAAAGAUUUAUCGGAAAAGGAUCGGCCCGCGUUGGAUUAGGUAGCUGGUGGGGUAAUGGCCUACCAAGCCGACGAUCCAUAGCUGGUUUGAGAGGAUGAUCAGCCACACUGGGACUGAGACACGGCCCAGACUCCUACGGGAGGCAGCAGUGGGGAAUCUUAGACAAUGGGGGCAACCCUGAUCUAGCCAUGCCGCGUGAGUGAUGAAGGCCUUAGGGUUGUAAAGCUCUUUCAGCUGGGAAGAUAAUGACGGUACCAGCAGAAGAAGCCCCGGCUAACUCCGUG